rnacentral:lncRNA from 1 species
AGGAUAUCAAUCUUAACCACUGAAUAUUUUUGAUCCUAUGGCUAGAAAUCACACAUCUCAUAUCUCAUAUCUCAAUCUCUUUCUUCUUGUCUCACGUUAUCUCUCUCUCUCUCUCUCUCUCUCUCUCUCUUUUUGUUACAGAUCUAAAUCUGAUCUCAUAUCUUUUUUAAUUCUUUGGAUCUCUAUCUUCCUCAAUCACCACCACCACAACCACCCGUUUGUUUUCGCCGUCCCAGCAUCACAACCACCACCACACGACCGUUCGUUCGCCGUCCAAGCAUCACCACCACCACACAACCACGGUUAGAACUCAUAUCUCUCUCUCUCUCUCUCUCUCUCUCUCUCUCUCUCUCUCUCUCUCUCUCUCUCUCUCUCUCUCUCUCUCUCUCUCUCUCUCUCUCUCUCUCUCUCUCUCUCUCUCUCUCUCUCUCUCUCUCUCUCUCUCUCUCUCUCUCUCUCUCUCUCUCUCUCUCUCUCUCUCUCUCUCUCUGUUUUGAACUGUAUUAUUUUUUUUAGGGAUGGAGGAAGCAAGGCAAGGCAGGUAUGGCGGCUAGAGGAGGAAGAUGACGGCUUCAGAUUCAGGAAGAGGAAGCUGACGGCGAGUUGGUGAGGAGGCGACGAGAUUAGGUCUAGAUGGAUGUGACGUUUGCCUCCUCUCUGCAACUUGCAUCUCAAAUCCCAGGAUGAAGAAGAAGAAUCAUGGCUGGAAAAACACGAAGACGAAGGUGGUGGUGCGGCCGGUAGAUGAAGAAGACAACGAAGUGGUGGUGUGUUUAGUUAGUAAUUAGGUUAAAGUCUAGUUUAGUUUUUGGUUUAUUUAGUUUGUUGGUUUAUUAUUUAAUUAGAUUUUUUUUUGUAUUUUUGUAAACAAAUUUCAUUAUAGAUAAAUUUAAGUAAUAAAGAAAAUUUGAUUCUAUGAAUAAUUUUAAAUUUUAAUUAAGUUUUUAUUUUU